rnacentral:rRNA from 1 species
AUUGAACGCUGGCGGAAUGCAUUACACAUGCAAGUCGGACGGCAGCACGGACUUCGGCCUGGUGGCGAGUGGCGAACGGGUGAGUAAUGUAUCGGAACGUGCCCAGUCGUGGGGGAUAACGUAGUGAAAAUUACGCUAAUACCGCAUACGAUCUAUGGAUGAAAGCGGGGGAUCGCAAGACCUCGCGCGAUUGGAGCGGCCGAUAUCAGAUUAGGUAGUUGGUGGGGUAAAGGCCCACCAAGCCAACGAUCUGUAGCUGGUCUGAGAGGACGACCAGCCACACUGGAACUGAGACACGGUCCAGACUCCUACGGGAGGCAGCAGUGGGGAAUUUUGGACAAUGGGCGAAAGCCUGAUCCAGCCAUUCCGCGUGCAGGAUGAAGGCCCUCGGGUUGUAAACUGCUUUUGUACAGAACGAAAAGGUUUCUACUAAUACUAGGAGCUCAUGACGGUACUGUAAGAAUAAGCACCGGCUAACUACGUGCCAGCAGCCGCAGUAA